UACGUAGGGUGCAAGCGUUGUCCGGAAUUAUUGGGCGUAAAGAGCUCGUAGGCGGUUCGUCGCGUCGGCUGUGAAAACCCGGGGCUCAACUUCGGGCUUGCAGUCGAUACGGGCAGGCUAGAGUUCGGUAGGGGAGACUGGAAUUCCUGGUGUAGCGGUGAAAUGCGCAGAUAUCAGGAGGAACACCGAUGGCGAAGGCAGGUCUCUGGGCCGAUACUGACGCUGAGGAGCGAAAGCGUGGGGAGCGAACAGG
rnacentral:rRNA from 1 species